rnacentral:rRNA from 1 species
AUUGAACGCUGGCGGCAUGCCUUACACAUGCAAGUCGAACGGUAACAGGUUAAGCUGACGAGUGGCGAACGGGUGAGUAAUGUAUCGGAACGUGCCCAGUCGUGGGGGAUAACUGCUCGAAAGAGCAGCUAAUACCGCAUACGACCUGAGGGUGAAAGCGGGGGAUCGCAAGACCUCGCGCGAUUGGAGCGGCCGAUAUCAGAUUAGGUAGUUGGUGAGGUAAAGGCUCACCAAGCCGACGAUCUGUAGCUGGUCUGAGAGGACGACCAGCCACACUGGGACUGAGACACGGCCCAGACUCCUACGGGAGGCAGCAGUGGGGAAUUUUGGACAAUGGGCGCAAGCCUGAUCCAGCCAUGCCGCGUGCGGGAAGAAGGCCUUCGGGUUGUAAACCGCUUUUGUCAGGGAAGAAAAGGUUCUGGCUAAUACCUGGGACUCAUGACGGGACCUGAAGAAUAAGCACCGGCUAACUACGU